GAUGAACGCUGGCGGCGUGCUUAACACAUGCAAGUCGAACGGUGAACACGGAGCUUGCUCUGUGGGAUCAGUGGCGAACGGGUGAGUAACACGUGAGCAACCUGCCCCUGACUCUGGGAUAAGCGCUGGAAACGGCGUAUAAUAUAGGGUAUGUUACGUGACCGCAUGGUCUGCGUUUGGAAAGAUCGUUCGUUCGGGGAUGGGUUGGCGGCUUAUCAGCUCGUUGGUGAGUUAAUGGCUCACCACGGCGCCGAGGGGUAGCCGGCCAGCGAAGGUGACCGGGCACAAUAGGACUAAGAGACGGAGCAGAAUCGUACGGGAGGCAGUGGGCGGAAGUAUUGCGCAGUAGGGGCACGCCUGAGGCGGCGGCGCCGGGUGAGGGAUGACGGCCUUCGGGUUGUAAACCUCUUUGUGCAGAGAAGAAGCGAAAGUGACGGUACCUGCAGAAAAAGCGCCGGCUAACUACGUG
rnacentral:rRNA from 1 species